GAGAGAGAAGGAGAGAGAGAGAGCGAUAGAAGGAGAGAGAGAGAGCGAUAGAAGGAGAGAGAGAGAGAAAGAGAGCGAGAGAAAGAUAAAGGGAGAGAGAGAGAGAGAGAGAAGGAGAGCGAGAGAGAGAGAGAGAGAGAGAGAGAGCCAAACAGGCGAGAGAGAGAAGGAGAGCGAGCGAGAGAAGGAGAGAGAGCGAGAGAAGGAGAGAGAGCGAGAGAAGGAGAGAGAGAGAAAGAGAGCGAGAGAAAGAGAGUGAUAGAGAGUGAUAGAAAGAGAAAGAGAGAGAUAGAGAGAGAGAAAGAGAAGGAGAGAGAAGGAGAGAGAAAGAGAAGGAGAGAGAGAGAAAGAGAAGGAGAGAGAAGGAGAGAGAGAGAGCGAUAGAAGGAGAGAGAGAGCGAUAGAAGGAGAGAGAGAGAGAGAGAGAGAGAGAGAGAGAAGGAGAGUUUAGAGA
rnacentral:lncRNA from 1 species